UCGGAUAUGGUGUAACGGCUAACAUUGCCGCCUCUCAUGAGUGGGCAUGUUCUCCUCUUUAUACGCGGCAGCUCGGGGUUCGAUUCCCCGUAUCCGAA